AAAAAAAAAAGAAUAAUUCCAUUGUCUUUCCUCAUUCAUUGGAGAGCUCUCUUUGGGCUUUCCGAAAAAGUAUCACAUGCAAAGUUUGGCCUCACGGUCAAAAAUUUAUAGAGUCAUACAUUUUAACAAAAAAAAUAGAGAAAAACCGAAAAAAAAGAGGGAUGCAACACGAAUACAUUCCGAGAGAUCACCCAUCCUAGUACUACUCUCGUCCAAGCACGCUUAACUGCAGAGUUCUGAUGGGAUCCGGUGCAUUAAUGCUGGUAUGAUCGCAUCCGUUAGUACAUGCAAUGCAAUCGUAUCUAUUCUUUUUUGAAGUCUUUAUGAUCCAUUUGUCGUGGGUCCCACCAGCUAUGUAGGAAUACUCUAUCUAGUUUAUAAGAGCUUUGAUACAUGCAAAAUAUUUGAAAACAAUAUCCGAACAUAUAAUUUUUGCCCCGUAAUAAAGCAAAGAUCACGAAAAGGCCUGAAAAAAGUACAUUAAGAUCAAAAUUUGGAUUAGAAAAAAAAACCAAUAGAAGAAUUCCAUUGUGCUCCCUCAUUCAUCGGAGAGCUCUCUUUGGGCUUUCCGAAAAUGUAUCACAUGUCAAGUUUGGCCUCACGGUCUAAAAGUUAUAGAGUCAUACAUUUUUAACAAAAAAAAAAAGAGGGAUGCAACACGAGGACUUUCCUAGAGGUCACCCAUCUUAUUACAACUCACGCCCAAGCACGCUUAACUGUGGAGUUCUGAUGGGAUCCGGUGCAUUAGUGUUGGUAUGAUCGCAUCUGUUACUACAUGCAAUGCAAUCAUAUCUAUUCUUUUUUGAAGACUUUAUGAUCCAUUUGCCGUGGGUCCCACUAGCUAUGUAGGAAUAUCCUAUCUUGUUUAUAAGAGCUUUGAUACAUGCAAAAUAUUCGAAAACAAUGUCCGAACAUAUAAUUUUUGCCCCGUAAUAUAGCAAAGAUCACGGAAAGGCCCGAAAAAGUACAUUAAGGUCAAAAUUUGGAGUAGAAAAAAAACCGAUAGAAGAAUUCCAUUUUCCUUCCUCAUUAAUUGGAUAGCUCUCUUUGGGCUUUCCGAAAAGGUAUCACAUGCCAUGUUUGGCCUCACGGUCUAAAAGUUAUAGAGUCAUAUAUUUUUAACAAAACAAAAAAGAGAAAAACCGAGAAAAAAAGAGGGAAGCAACACGAGGACUUUCCUGAAGGUCACCCAUCCUAGUACUACUCUCGCCUAAGCACGCUUAACUGCGGAGUUCAAAUGGGAUCUGGUGCAUUAGUGCUGGUAUGAUCGCAUUCGUUACUACAUGCAAUGCAAUCGUAUAUAUUCUUUUUUGAAGACUUUAUGAUCCAUUUGCCGUGGGUCCCACCAUCUAUGUAGGAAUACCCUUUCUUGUUUAGAAGAGCUUUGAUACAUGCUAAAUAUUCAAAAAAAAUGUCCGACCAUAUAAUUUUCGCCCCGAAAUAUAACAAAGAUCACGAAAAGGCCCGAAAAAGUACAUUAAGGUCAAAAUUUGGAGUAGAAAAAAAACACAAUAAAAGAAUUCCAUUUUCCUUCCUCAUUCAUCGGAGAGCUCUAUUUGGGCUUUCCGAAAAGGUAUCACAUGCCAAGUUUGGCCUCACGGUCUAAAAGUUCUAGAGUCAUACAUUUUUGACAAAACAAAACAGAAAAACCAAAAAAAAAGAGGGAUGCAACACGAGGACUUUCCAGGAGGUCACCCAUCCUAGUACUACUCUCGCCCAAGCACGCUUAACUGCGGAGUUUUGAUGGGAUCUGGUGCAUUAGUGCUGGUAUGAUCGCAUCCGGUACUACAUGCAAUGCAAUCGUAUAUAUUCUUUUUUGAAGACUUUAUGUUCGAUUUGCCGUGGGUUCCACCAGCUAUGUAGGAAUACCUUAUCUUGUUUAUAAGAGAUUUGAUACAUC
rnacentral:sRNA from 1 species